AACGAACGCUGGCGGCAGGCCUAAAACAUGCAAGUCGAACGAACCUUCGGGUUAGUGGCGCACGGGUGAGUAACGCGUGGGAAUGUGCCUCUGGGUGCGGAACAACGUCGGGAAACUGACGCUAAUACCGCAUAAUGUCUACGGACCAAAGAUUUAUCGCCCAGAGAUCAGCCCGCGUCUGAUUAGCUAGUUGGUGAGGUAACGGCUCACCAAGGCUACGAUCAGUAGCUGGUCUGAGAGGAUGAUCAGCCACACUGGAACUGAGACACGGUCCAGACUCCUACGGGAGGCAGCAGUUAGGAAUAUUGGACAAUGGGGGAAACCCUGAUCCAGCCAUGCCGCGUGUGUGAAGAAGGCCUUAGGGUUGUAAAGCACUUUCGGCUGUGAGAUAAUGACAGUAGCAGAAGAAGAAGCUCCGGCUAAAUUCGUG
rnacentral:rRNA from 1 species